AGAGGGCGCAAGCGUUGUUCGGAUUUAUUGGGCGUAAAGGGCGCGUAGGCGGGCGAGCAAGUCCGGUGUAAAAUCUUCACCGCUCAACGGGAAGAAGCCAUUGGAAACUGCUCGUCUUGAGGCCACUAGAGGGAACCGGAAUUCCUGGUGUAGCGGUGGAAUGCGUAGAUAUCAGGAAGAACACCGAUUGCGAAGGCGGGUUCCUGGGGUGGUCCUGACGCUGAGGCGCGAAAGCCAGGGGAGCAAACGGGAUUAGAUACCCCGGUAGUCCUGGCUGUAAACGAUGAGUGCUAGGUGCGAGAGGUAUCGACCCCCUUCGCGCCGCCGCUAACGCAUUAAGCACUCCGCCUGGGGAGUACGGUCGCAAGGCUG
rnacentral:rRNA from 1 species